rnacentral:rRNA from 1 species
UACGUAGGGCGCAAGCGUUGUCCGGAAUUAUUGGGCGUAAAGCGCACGUAGGCGGCUUGUUAAGUCAGGGGUGAAAUCCUGGAGCUCAACUCCAGAACUGCCUUUGAUACUGGCGAGCUUGAGUUCGGGAGAGGUGAGUGGAACUGCGAGUGUAGAGGUGAAAUUCGUAGAUAUUCGCAAGAACACCAGUGGCGAAGGCGGCUCACUGGCCCGAUACUGACGCUGAGGUGCGAAAGCGUGGGGAGCAAACAGG